GCAGAGUUGCUAGAUGUUGCAGCGGGUGCUUUCAUCAAAUUCAGACUAGGUGGCACCUGUUGUGGACAUGUGUGCCAACAGCCCUAAAGACUAUACAAAACCAAACCCCAAGCAGCUGCUGCAAGAAAGGAUUCUUGGUAAGAUCUGGAAAGAUGAUGGCAGUGGCUGGUACAAACGUAUAGAGAACAACGGUUGGAGACUUCUUUCCAUGAGAGUAUUAUGCAGGAAGUUUGUGGGUCACAACAGAAGAUCCUACUACUGCGAUCUUAAUUCAAAGGGCUGCAGAGGGCUUAGUUGACACUGUUGAGAAAGAAGGAUCAAAAAAGGUAAUGGAUUGGGAAGUGGAUGAAAUACUGAGAUGGACAAAUGCACUCAACUAUGAGGAGUAAGUAUGUGUUUGGGAUCUUAUUUUGGAAGACUUAAUUGUUAAUGAUAAAAUUUGAUGAAACUUUCUCUCUAAAUCUCUAUACAGAGCCCUUCCCUCUAAAUCUCUCUUCAGAGCCAUGUAGUGCAGUGCAUUAGGAGAUAUUUCUACAUUCUAGCUAACAGGCCGUCACAUAAAACUAAAGAUGAUAUGUUAAUUCUUAGGAUUUUGUCAAUUGCAAUGCAUUAAGUGCAAUGUAUGUUUGUUUUAAUGUGCUUAGAUACAUAAGCCAAUGGAAUAAAACUGCAACAAGCAACUCUUCAGCUAACUGCCAAGGCUUCCAGUUUGUUACAUCACAACAUGAUAUAUAUGAAUUGUCCCAGAUUCCGCACCAUAACUUAAAAAGAAUAGCAAGUCUUAGUCCCUUACCUAUAAGAGAAGUGGAUUUCACAUCACGACCAACUGUAACACCAGUAAAUACACCUUUGCUUUGAGGAAGAAAUUUCU
rnacentral:lncRNA from 1 species